AUAUAGAAUUCGCGCAAGGGAUAGAAGCGGUUAGCUCCCGAUAGCAUUUUAGCGAUCGGGACUAAAAGCGGAUAGCCCGACCCGUA
rnacentral:misc_RNA from 1 species